UCUCCGUUGGUGAACCAGCGGAGGGAUCGUUACCGAGUUUACAACUCCCAAACCCCUGUGAACAUACCUAUCGUUGCCUCGGCGGUGCCCGCUCCGGCGGCCCGCCAGAGGACCCCCAAACUCUUGUUUUAUACAGUAUCUUCUGAGUAACACGAUUAAAUAAAUCAAAACUUUCAACAACGGAUCUCUUGGUUCUC
rnacentral:misc_RNA from 1 species